rnacentral:rRNA from 1 species
CCUACGGUAGGCUGCAGUGGGGAAUAUUGCACAAUGGGGGAAACCCUGAUGCAGCGACGCCGCGUGAGUGAAGAAGUAUUUCGGUACGUAAAGCUCUAUCAGCAGGGAAGAAAAAAAGUCCUUUGGACUUUGGUCGGUACCUGACCAAGAAGCCCCGGCUAACUACGUGCCAGCAGCCGCGGUAAUACGUAGGGGGCAAGCGUUAUCCGGAUUUACUGGGUGUAAAGGGAGCGUAGACGGCAGCGCAAGUCUGGAGUGAAAUGACGGGGCCCAACCCCGGAACUGCUUUGGAAACUGUGCAGCUGGAGUGCAGGAGAGGUAAGCGGAAUUCCUAGUGUAGCGGUGAAAUGCGUAGAUAUUAGGAGGAACACCAGUGGCGAAGGCGGCUUACUGGACUGUAACUGACGUUGAGGCUCGAAAGCGUGGGGAGCAAACAGGAUUAGAUACCCGAGUAGUC